GGGGAUUUAGUUCAGUGGUAGAGCGCUUGCCUAGCAAGCACAAGGCCCUGAGUUCAGUCCCCA
rnacentral:tRNA from 1 species